rnacentral:rRNA from 1 species
CAAUAGCGUAUAUUAAAGUUGUUGCAGUUAAAAAGCUCGUAGUUGAACUUGUGCGUGCCCCUGAUGUCCUUUUUGGUACGUUUGGGGGCGUGCAUCCUUGGGUGGAACCUGUGUGGCAUUAGGUUGUCGUGCAGGGGAUGCUCAUCGUUUACUGUGAAAAAAUUAGAGUGUUCAAAGCAGGCUUAUGCCGUUGAAUAUAUUAGCAUGGAAUAAUAAGAUAGGACCUUGGUACUAUUUUGUUGGUUUGCGCACCGAGGUAAUGAUUAACAGGGACAGUUGGGGGUAUUCGUAUUCCAUUGUCAGAGGUGAAAUUCUUGGAUUUCUGGAAGACGAACUACUGCGAAAGCAUUUACCAAGGAUGUUUUCAUUA